ACUACGGGUGGCAGCAGUGGGGAAUAUUGGGCAAUGGGCGAAAGCCUGACCCAGCAACGCCGCGUGAAGGAAGAAGGCUCUCGGGUUGUAAACUUCUUUUCUCAGGGACGAAGAAAGUGACGGUACCUGAGGAAUAAGCGACGGCGAACUACGUGCCAGCAGCCGCGGUAAUACGGAGGUGGCAAGCGGUAUCCGGAUUUAAUGGGUGUAAAGGGCGUGGAGGCGGGACUGUGAGUCAGAUGUGAAAACCACGGGCUCAACCUGUGGCCUGCAUUUGAAACUGUAGUUCUUGAGUACUGGAGAGGCAGACGGAAUUCCUAGUGUAGCGGUGAAAUGCGUAGAUAUUAGGAGGAACACCAGUGGCGAAGGCGGUCUGCUGGACAGCAACUGACGCUGAGGCGCGAAAGCGUGGGGAGCAAACAGGAUUAGAUACCCGAGUAGUC
rnacentral:rRNA from 1 species